GGUCCCAGCAGCAUUCACCAGCACCCUGCUUCCUUCCUAUGCUGAACACGGCCCUGAGAGCAGCUCUCCUAGUUGCUCUGUGGUGGGACAGGCCAUCUCACCCGCCAUGCUUUCUGAGCACCCACCUAGAAGCUCUUCACUGAAGCUGAGGCUGAUCACUCAUUCUGUUGUGAGCACCAUACAGAGAGGCUGAUAUGGCAAGGAAAUGAAGGCUCUGGCCAACAGCCAGUGAGGAACUGAGGCCUGCUGACCACCGUGCCAGUGAGCGUGGAAGUGGGUCUUCCAGGCCCAUCUGAAUCAAGUCUUCAGGUGGUCACAAUCCCCACAAAAGCUCAGCCACAAUCUCGAGAGAGCCCCUGAGCCAGAACCACCCAGUUAAGACGCUCCUGGGUUCCAGACCCUUGGAAACUGUGUGCUUUAACAAAUGUUUGUUGUUGUAAGCCCUAAGUUUUACAGUAAUUUGU